rnacentral:rRNA from 1 species
CCCUUAGAUGUUCUGGGCCGCACGCGUGCUACACUGAGUGGAUCAGCGGGUCAGGUUGCGCGAAAGCGUUUCCUAAUCUUUAAAUCCGCUCGUGAUGGGGAUUGACGGUUGCAAUUUUCUGUCAUGAACGAGGAAUACCUUGUAAGCGCGGGUCAUCAUCCCGCGCUGAAUACGUCCCUGCCCUUUGUACACACUGCCCGUCGCUCCUACCGAUUGAGUGGUCCGGUGAGGCUUUGGGAUCUGAGCGGAAAGAGCGUUUCGCUGUUUCUGCUCGGAAAACUCAGUCGAACCUUAUCAUUUAGAGGAAGGAGAAGUCGUAACA